ensembl:snRNA U6 U6 spliceosomal RNA
GCACUUGACCACUGUGGUCACUAACAUUGGAAGGACAUAGCGGUGAUUAGCAAGGCAUCUGUGUAAGGAGGACACACAAAAUUGUGACACUGUCCAUUAGAAU